UCGUGAGUAAAUUCUGGCCAACUCUAUAGCUCUUCUCAAAUUUUCUCCUAACCCCCCUCUCUGAUGAAGGCAGUGGGGGUUUAUAUAUAGGGGAAUUUGGGGUCGAUUUAGAGGGGAAAUCGGGUUGAAAAGAUGGAUCCGAAUCCAAUUUGAAAAAUCAAAAUCUCGAAGAGAUCAGAAAUAAAUUUUCCAUUGUACCAAUUUUCGACGGAAAAGAGGGGAGAGGGGAAGUGGAGGACGCGAUUUGCUGCGGGAUUUCCGGUCUGAGCGACUGUCGAUGUUGACGUUUACUAGCCUUCUGGGUUUCGUCUGGAAGAAGAAAACGAGCAUGGGCAGUGGGGUCGGGGUGUUGUUGGAAUCGCUGAUUUGCAGCGAGGAAGACGAAGUUGGGCGGUGGGAUACUGUGUAUAUACGUAUGGGAUGAUGUAUUGUAUUGUGGAUGUUUGGAAGCUGCUG
rnacentral:lncRNA from 1 species